UUUCUCCAUUUUCAAUUUCAUUUUCGCUGGAGUAGAGCUUGAUGAGACGAUUUUGCCCCUGCUUGCCGGCUAAAAGGGGAUCGAGAUCUCGCGAGCUACCGGCCAUGGCUCGACGCGCCGCAGCCGCCGACGGAGAGUCCCGUCGCCGCCUUGCCGCUCCUCAUCCUCCUCGUCUUUCUCCUCUCAACUUCACUCGGUAUGGUCGCCACACCGGUGCGAGAAACUCGAUGUUGGUUUCUUCGCAUUCCAGGCUUGUUCUGACGCGCUCGCGUACCGUUGUGUUUGCAGGGGCGUGCAGUUCGGCGAGCAAGAGGGGCGGCGACGGGCGACAGCGGCGGUGCGGUAGCGGAUGAGGCGUACUACUCCAGCUGGGAAUCGGCAGUGGCGG
rnacentral:lncRNA from 1 species